rnacentral:rRNA from 1 species
ACGAAGGUGGCGAGCGUUGUUCGGAAUCACUGGGCAUAAAGCGCACGUAGGCGGUGUCGUAAGUCGGAUGUGAAAUCCCUCGGCCUAACCGGGGAACUGCGUCUGAUACUGGUCGGCUUGAGUUUGGGAGAGGGACGCGGAAUUCCAGGUGUAGCGGUGAAAUGCGUAGAUAUCUGGAGGAACACCGGUGGCGAAGGCGGCGUCCUGGACCAACACUGACACUGAUGAGCGAAAGCCAGGGGAGCAAACGGGA